rnacentral:lncRNA from 1 species
UUCACCGUCCUCUCUUUGCAUUUGAAGUUUGGAUCAACAAUAUAUCGUUCUUAUGAAUAAGCUUAACACUCAUAUCCAAUUAUACCACUCACUGGAUGAUUUGCCUGGCUUCACCUCUCCUUGGAUCCAUGAUUACUUCUCCACUGCCCCACUACCAUACCGAACUCAUAUAUUGGAUUUUAUACCUCUAAAUGAGAAUAAAAACAUGAUUCAACAUAUAUAUGAUUCCUCAGAAUCGCGUUUAAAACAUAGAUAUAAACAAUAAUACCUGUGAAAAAUCGAGGGUUUUUGGAUCCUAAAACUGUGUAUGGAACUACAUAUGAGAUUUAAAAUUGGAAUCAUAUGUUCCACACAAGAACCCCAAAAGAAAUCGAAACAGAUGAAAUUGUGGACUUAUGUAAGACGAUGUGUUGAGGUUAAAUUUUAAAAGGGGUGUGAUGAAUGCAAUGCAUAUACUGAUAUACGUUUCUUAUACUGCGCAACCUUUUGUUUUUAAGGAAUUAUUUCGGGAAAGUUAC